GUACACUCCUACGGGAGGCAGCAGUGGGGAAUAUUGGACAAUGGGCGCAAGCCUGAUCCAGCCAUGCCGCGUGAGUGAUGAAGGCCCUAGGGUUGUAAAGCUCUUUCACCGGUGAAGAUAAUGACGGUAACCGGAGAAGAAGCCCCGGCUAACUUCGUGCCAGCAGCCGCGGUAAUACGAAGGGGGCUAGCGUUGUUCGGAUUUACUGGGCGUAAAGCGCACGUAGGCGGACUAUUAAGUCAGGGGUGAAAUCCCGGGGCUCAACCCCGGAACUGCCUUUGAUACUGGUAGUCUUGAGUUCGAGAGAGGUGAGUGGAAUUCCGAGUGUAGAGGUGAAAUUCGUAGAUAUUCGGAGGAACACCAGUGGCGAAGGCGGCUCACUGGCUCGAUACUGGCGCUGAGGUGCGAAAGCGUGGGGAGCAAACAGGAUUAGAUACCCCGGUAGUCCCA
rnacentral:rRNA from 1 species